rnacentral:rRNA from 1 species
GGCGAACGCUGGCGGCGUGCUUAACACAUGCAAGUCGAACGGAAAGGCCCUGCUUUUGUGGGGUGCUCGAGUGGCGAACGGGUGAGUAACACGUGAGUAACCUGCCCUUGACUUUGGGAUAACUUCAGGAAACUGGGGCUAAUACCGGAUAGGAGCUCCUGCUGCAUGGUGGGGGUUGGAAAGUUUCGGCGGUUGGGGAUGGACUCGCGGCUUAUCAGCUUGUUGGUGGGGUAGUGGCUUACCAAGGCUUUGACGGGUAGCCGGCCUGAGAGGGUGACCGGCCACAUUGGGACUGGGAUACGGCCCAGACUCCUACGGGAGGCAGCAGUGGGGAAUAUUGCACAAUGGGCGGAAGCCUGAUGCAGCAACGCCGCGUGCGGGAUGACGGCCUUCGGGUUGUAAACCGCUUUCGCCUGUGACGAAGCGUGAGUGACGGUAAUGGGUAAAGAAGCACCGGCUAACUACGUG